CAGCAGCCACGGUAAUACGAAGGGGGCUAGCGUUGUUCGGAAUUACUGGGCGUAAAGGGCGCGUAGGCGGCCAUUCAAGUUAGAUGUGAAAGCCCUGGGCUCAACCUAGGAAUUGCAUUUGAUACUGUUUGGCUUGAGUUCGGGAGAGGUGAGUGGAAUUCCCAGUGUAGAGGUGAAAUUCGUAGAUAUUGGGAAGAACACCAGUGGCGAAGGCGGCUCACUGGACCGACACUGACGCUGAGGCGCGAAAGCGUGGGGAGCAAACAGGAUUAGAUACCCGAGUAGUCCCUGUCUCUUAUAC
rnacentral:rRNA from 1 species